GGGCCUCACGCCAUAAGAUUAGCCCAAGUGGGAUUAGCUAGUUGGUGAGGUAAUGGCUCACCAAGGCGACGAUCCCUAGCUGGUUUGAGAGGAUGAUCAGCCACACUGGGACUGAGACACGGCCCAGACUCCUACGGGAGGCAGCAGUGGGGAAUAUUGCACAAUGGGCGCAAGCCUGAUGCAGCCAUGCCGCGUGUGUGAAGAAGGCCUUCGGGUUGUAAAGCACUUUCAGUAAGGAGGAAAGGUUGAGUGUUAAUAGCGCUUAGCUGUGACGUUACUUACAGAAGAAGCACCGGCUAACUCCGUGCCAGCAGCCGCGGUAAUACGGAGGGUGCGAGCGUUAAUCGGAAUUACUGGGCGUAAAGCGUACGCAGGCGGUUUGUUAAGCGAGAUGUGAAAGCCCCGGGCUCAACCUGGGAACUGCAUUUCGAACUGGCAAACUAGAGUGUGAUAGAGGGUGGUAGAAUUUCAGGUGUAGCGGUGAAAUGCGUAGAGAUCUGAAGGAAUAC
rnacentral:rRNA from 1 species